rnacentral:rRNA from 1 species
UACAGAGGGGGCAAGCGUUAUUCGGAAUUAUUGGGCGUAAAGGGCGCGUAGGCGGCCUGGCAAGUGGAAGGUGAAAUCCCUCGGCUUAACCGAGGAACUGCCCUCCAAACUGCUUGGCUUGAGUCCGGGAGAGGUGAGUGGAAUUCCCAGUGUAGCGGUGAAAUGCGUAGAUAUUGGGAGGAACACCAGUGGCGGAGGCGGCUCACUGGACCGGAACUGACGCUGAGGCGCGAAAGCGUGGGGAGCAAACGGG